UGCAGCUGACAGUGUGUCUGGCCUGAU
rnacentral:piRNA from 2 species